CAGGACUUUGGAGGGGAGCGUAUGGAUAUAUAAUUGUUCCAGACUAUUCUUUCUCUACUGAAUUAUCUUUGCAUCUUUGUGAAAAAUCAACUGGCCAUAUUUGUUUGUUUUUAUCUCUGCAUUCUUGUUUUGUUACAUUAAUCAAUUUGUCUAUCCUGACACUACUGUCUUAUUUACUGCAGCUGUAUAAUAAGUCUUAAAGUCAGAUAUCCCCCCGGUACAUAUAGUUGUGUAUUCUUCGUUGUGGGUUCCUCUAGCUGUGGCAUGUGGGACGCCGCCUCAGCGUGGUCUGACGAGCAGUGCCAUGUCCGCGCCCAGGAUUCGAACCGACGAAACACUGGGCCGCCUGCAGCGGAGCGCGCGAACUUAACCACUCGGCCACGGGGCCAGACCCUAAACUUGCCAAUUUCUACCAAAAAAAAAGCCUACUGAGAUUUUUUUACUGGGAUUGAAUUAAAUCUAUAGAUUAAAAUUGGAGAAUGGACAGUUUAAUAAUAUUGAGUCUUUCAAUUCAUG
rnacentral:lncRNA from 1 species